AUGAACGCUGGCGGCGUGCCUAAUACCUGCAAGUCGAGCGAACGGACGAGAAGCUUGCUUCUCUGAUGUUAGCGGCGGACGGGUGAGUAACACGUGGAUAACCUACCUAUAAGACUGGGAUAACUUCGGGAAACCGGAGCUAAUACCGGAUAAUAUUUUGAACCGCAUGGUUCCAAAGUGAAAGACGGUCUUGCUGUCACUUAUAGAUGGAUCCGCGCUGCAUUAGCUAGUUGGUAAGGUAACGGCUUACCAAGGCAACGAUGCAUAGCCGACCUGAGAGGGUGAUCGGCCACACUGGAACUGAGACACGGUCCAGACUCCUACGGGAGGCAGCAGUAGGGAAUCUUCCGCAAUGGGCGAAAGCCUGACGGAGCAACGCCGCGUGAGUGAUGAAGGUCUUCGGAUCGUAAAACUCUGUUAUUAGGGAAGAACAUAUGUGUAAGUAACUGUGCACAUCUUGACGGUACCUAAUCAGAAAGCCACGGCUAACUACGUG
rnacentral:rRNA from 1 species